CCUACGGAGGCUGCAGUGGGGAAUAUUGGACAAUGGGCGAAAGCCUGAUCCAGCCAUGCCGCGUGUGUGAAGAAGGCCUUCGGGUUGUAAAGCACUUUCAGUGGGGAAGAAAGCCUUGGGGCUAAUACCCUCGAGGAAGGACAUCACCCACAGAAGAAGCACCGGCUAACUCCGUGCCAGCAGCCGCGGUAAUACGGAGGGUGCGAGCGUUAAUCGGAAUUACUGGGCGUAAAGCGCGCGUAGGCGGUCUGAUAAGCCGGUUGUGAAAGCCCCGGGCUCAACCUGGGAACGGCAUCCGGAACUGUCAGGCUAGAGUGCAGGAGAGGAAGGUAGAAUUCCCGGUGUAGCAGUGAAAUGCGUAGAGAUCGGGAGGAAUACCAGUGGCGAAGGCGGCCUUCUGGACUGACACUGACGCUGAGGUGCGAAAGCGUGGGUAGCAAACAGGAUUAGAUACCCUAGUAGUC
rnacentral:rRNA from 1 species